rnacentral:rRNA from 1 species
CACGUAGGGGGCGAGCGUUGUCCGGAUUUAUUGGGCGUAAAGAGCUCGUAGGCGGUUUCGUAAGUCGGAUGUGAAAACUCCAGGCUCAACUUGGAGACGCCAUUCGAUACUGCGAUGACUUGAGUCCGGUAGGGGAGUGUGGAAUUCCUGGUGUAGCGGUGAAAUGCGCAGAUAUCAGGAGGAACACCAAUGGCGAAGGCAGCACUCUGGGACGUGACUGACGCUGAGACGCGAAAGCGUGGGGAGCAAACAGG